AGAACGAACGCUGGCGGCAUGCCUAAUACAUGCAAGUCGAACGAACACUUCGGUGUUAGUGGCGCACGGGUGCGUAACGCGUGGGAAUCUGCCCUUGGGUUCGGAAUAACAGUUGGAAACGACUGCUAAUACCGGAUGAUAUCGAAGGAUCAAAGAUUUAUCGCCCAGGGAUGAGCCCGCGUAGGAUUAGCUAGUUGGUGAGGUAAAGGCUCACCAAGGCGACGAUCCGUAACUGGUCUGAGAGGAUGAUCAGUCACACUGGAACUGAGACACGGUCCAGAC
rnacentral:rRNA from 1 species